GCGGUUUCCAACGUUAAGCCCAGACGCGAGUGGGUAAUCUCGAACCCGUUUCCUGCUGGAACGGGGAGAGUCAUCAGAAGCCGGCGUUUGGCCCGUGGAGCAGACUGGCGCGGCGCACCUGAGGCUCAGGAACAACAGAACACUUUGUGCUCUCAUCAUUCACCUUGCCAGAGAGUGGAUGCCAACUCAGCAGAAACACCCCUAUGAGUUUCCGAGACUAUCACUUUA